UACGUAGGGGGCUAGCGUUGUCCGGAAUCAUUGGGCGUAAAGAGCGUGUAGGCGGUCCGGUAAGUCCGCUGUGAAAGUCGGGGGCUCAACCCUCGAAUGCCGGUGGAUACUGUCGGGCUAGAGUGCGGAAGAGGCGAGUGGAAUUCCUGGUGUAGCGGUGAAAUGCGCAGAUAUCAGGAGGAACACCUAUUGCGAAGGCAGCUCGCUGGGACGUUUACUGACGCUGAGACGCGAAAGCGUGGGGAGCAAACAGG
rnacentral:rRNA from 1 species